rnacentral:rRNA from 1 species
AUUGAACGCUGGCGACAUGCCUUACACAUGCAAGUCGAACGGCAGCACGGGUGCUUGCCCCUGGUGGCGAGUGGCGAACGGGUGAGUAAUACAUCGGAACAUGUCCUGUAGUGGGGGAUAGCCCGGCGAAAGCCGGAUUAAUACCGCAUACGAUCUACGGAUGAAAGCGGGGGCCCUUCGGGCCUCGCGCUAUAGGGUUGGCCGAUGGCUGAUUAGCUAGUUGGUGGGGUAAAGGCCUACCAAGGCAACGAUCAGUAGCUGGUCUGAGAGGACGACCAGCCACACUGGGACUGAGACACGGCCCAGACUCCUACGGGAGGCAGCAGUGGGGAAUUUUGGACAAUGGGCGAAAGCCUGAUCCAGCAAUGCCGCGUGUGUGAAGAAGGCCUUCGGGUUGUAAAGCACUUUUGUCCGGAAAGAAAUCCUUGGCCCUAAUACGGUCGGGGGAUGACGGUACCGGAAGAAUAAGCACCGGCUAACUACGUG